UAAUCUUGAGUCAUUUGCCCUCUCUGAAUUU
rnacentral:piRNA from 1 species